ACAGGCUCUUCACCGACGAGAAGCUCGCAAAAAGGGAGAUGGAAAGGUUAGUGCAGAAACAAGGCAUGGAGCGGAUUGAGGGAUGGCCGUUGGUUGUGAUCCGUGGUUUGUUCUUCUUUUCAGUUCUUUGCUCCCAGAUUUCUUGCGGGUUUGCAACAGCAGGUUUCUAUUACUCCAAGCAGAUAGAGUCGCGCUGUGCUCUCGGUCCGCUUGAUAUCUUUGCUUUCGUGUUGAUUGGAGUCGUUUCACUGCCGUACCAUUUGUUCCUUUUCUGGGUUUCUCUGCGCGGGAACUAAUGAUGUCGAUGAUGAGUUUCAAAGCGGUUGGUUUGUUAGGCUAGGUCUUCAAAGCUGAUGUCCCCGUGGCAAGAUCAGCAUUUGUAGUAGUUUAAGAAGAUUCCGUCUGUGCUAGUACGUAGUAGUAGUUAAUUUGUAGUACCAGUUCAUUUGUAUCCCUUGUUGUAAUAGGUCUUCAAAGCUGAUGUCCCCAUGGGCAAGAUCAGCAUUAGUUUAAGCGGAAUCUGUGUGUGCUACUAGUUAAUUUGUACCGGUUGAAACUCAUACUAUGUAAUCUUCCUUGUAUGAUAUAUCGUGUAUGGAGCAACUAUUUACUUCACUGUUUCAAAUUAAUUAUUUACUUAUGUAUGCUGUGCGACGGCGCAAGCACCCUGCUAAUGUCGGAAAAGAUAUCCCUAUGUGUUAUUUUUCUUAAACUGACGAUAUGGCAGAGAGAACCUACCCAGGUGGGAGGUGUAUUUAAUUCCUUUUCUGUAUUUAGAAACCGAGAGCGAUGCACGUUGGAAGUGUUUCCUUUUCUGUAUUUAAUUCGAGAGCACCAACAUACUCUGUUCUCUGUUCUGUAGUAGGAAAAUCGGAUUCUUGUUUGCUUAUGUUAGGUGUGAUGGAAUACUAUACUCUGGAACUGGAAAGGUUAAAUUAGCAAGCGAAGAGAGAACGCCUAGAAUUUCUGCUAUCAUCGCAUCGUACUAGCGAAAAAUCUCUAAUGCUAAUUUUGUUAAAGACAUGUAGUGGGGAAUGAAGGGAAGAGGUUGACCAUAGUGCUAGUGCGACGGUUCAUUGUGGCAGUGUGAAGAAUAGAAAAUAUCGUUUGGAUGAUAUUUUCUGAAAGAAAAAUAAUAUCAUUUGGAAAUGGCAAUUGUGCACAUCUGUAACAUCACAUAAUUUACAAAGUUAACCAUUACUGUGAACAGCUUCCAAGAUUUCAGGAGAAAUGCUCAUGAGAGAACAGGAAAAUAUAGUAACUGAUGAGAGAACACAAGAAUUUACUUAUACUUCAUUAGUCCCUUGUCAAAUAUUCCCUCUGUAAACUAAUAUAAGAGUGUUUAGAUAACUAAAAUAGUGAUCUAAACACUCUUAUAUUAGUUUACGGAGGGAGUAAAUCAUAAGCAUGGGACUUUGAAAUUUUGGCUGUGCCAUUUCCAUCAAAAAACAAAGGGCCUUGAAGAAAAAAAAUUACACAUUUAGCUUGACCUGUGCAUGUUGAGUAGCAACAAACUAAUACUGUUCGGCACCCAUGUAAGAUGUUUGGUAGCACUAAAGAUAAAACAUUGCAAUUCCUAGAGGGGAGGUCGUAGAAGUGUUGUAAACAUCCGCGACUGAACUCUGCUGUCCAUCUUCCUGAGAAUGAUGCAGUCGUAGUAGAUGUACAUGGGGUUCUUGGUCACGGGUUAGCUGAACAUCAUGUUGAUGUCCUCGCAGAACCCGAACAACCACACCACCUCUGCAAAGACCCCUGGAAACAACACACUGGAAGGAAAAGAAUUAGGGACCUAGAGGAAGAGGUGCAAGGAAGCAGGCAGGCAAUCUGCCGGCACAAGAAUAGUGAUCCAAGAACACAUGUGGAACAAGCAGACAGGUAAUGAGGCUAUUGUUUAGUGUCACGGUUCAAGCAGAUGAUACUUAGAAUUCAGACAACUUUUUAGUUUUUACUGGUAACUAAAAACAAAUUCGAUGUCCAUUUGAAAAAUAAUGAUAAUAAGAGAUACAGUAAACACUUUGGUGGGGAGGGGGGCUGCCAGAUUUUAAUUUCGAACCAAACGUAAUAUAGUAUUAUUUUCUAUGCAACUACAAUAAUUCUGUUAAUCGUUGGACACUCAAACUGAAGCCACAUAAACUACUAUUUCUCAAGGGAAAGUUGUUAUAAGAACUUGUUAUCACACAUGGAAAUAUUGGAAGGAACAUUACUUAUGGGAAAACUAACUUUGUAGGUUAAUUGUGGACAAUGAUUUCUGCAAAAAGAAAUAGGGAAGGCAGAUUGUACGCCAAGAACUCACUUAUAUAUCAUAUCUGGAUCAAUGCAUGAACAUCUUUGUCUAGAUCCAAGCAAACAUGAAAAAAGAAAACAAAAAUAUUUGUACCGACCAAUCUUAACGUGCAGCACUAUUAUAGAGAACAUAAUAUAUAGUUGUACUGAGCAAUGCCAAAAUAAAUUCUAUUCUAAUAGUCUUCUAAGACAGCAUCCAGACUGCAAAAUAAAACUACCAUAACACCAACACACAAAGUUACAUCAAAAUCAGCUAUACCAGGAAUUAUAGAAAUGCCAACAACAAUGACGAACUGAAGAGGAAAUAAAAAUAACGGAAGGAAUCUAAGAACUCAGGAGGAGGAAAUACUUCACCGGAGAAGUAAAAUGCAUACAUUUAUAUCCUCUCUUUAACAGAUUAACAUUGGAAAGUUUGAAGGGUUCCAGUAGUAGCAAAGUUUGUCCGAAACAGAAUUCUGCAGAACUACGCUAAAAACUGCCCACAUCGAAGGAGCAUGUCUCUAUACCACAAUCUCUGAAUUCAUGCAGCGAGAUACAAUCUAUGAAUUCAUGCUAUGUGUGUGCUCGAGAAGCAAUAUAUCUUGCAAACUGGACAUAGCAUCAAAGAGAUGGUAGUAAUCACAUUCGAACGACAUACAUACCACACAUGACGGGCUUGUCCAGAAGAAAGAAAACCAGGACAGAGCAAAUACAAAAUUAUGACACAACGACUACACUGAAACUUCCAAUUUGUAUUCCAGUUAGACAUUCUUCUCUGCAACACAUCAGAAAAUCAAUUAAUAAAUGAAGUGGGAUAAAAGAGAGGUAAGACUUAAAAUUUUAAUCUUUACUUACUGAAGAAAGCCAAAACAGAGCAACCACUAUAGUGGAACGAAGCCAUCAACAGCAGUGCGUUUUGCAACAUAUGAAAAUAUCAAUUAACAAAGCAAGUAAAGUAAAACAGAUGCAAGCUGCAAGAGAAGAAGAAAAGGCAUUACUUCUGUUUACCAAAUAACAUCUUGCAUACUACGGAGCAUCAGUGAUUAGUUUGUAUACAAUGUUUUCAGUAGAGUCUUUUUACGGUACCCUGGUACUUCCCAAGGCCUAUGUGGAGUACCAACUAAAUCCGGCCGUUAAUAUUGGAGGGCAUUAGAGACAUUUUACAGUUCACGCGGUGGUUUGAUUACCCUAAUCCACUCAAUUUGUGUCUACGGCGCCGCCUCAGCGCCCGAAUCAGCCGCCGCCAUCUCAGUUUCUGAGAUCCCAUCGCCUUUGUUAUAGAUGAAUUUGCCGGCGCUGUUGAAAUCAAAACGAUCUUCUUUGUUGUAAGGUUUGUGUCUAGGGCACAUCUAGAUGUGCCCUAGUUAUUGCACAUCUAAGUGAGUGAAUCAAGCACAAAGAGGAAAAGAAAAAAGAAAAAAAAAAUAUCCACACGAAUCUCGACGUAAGAUCGAUGAUAUAGGACUUAGAUGUGCAAUACUUAUGGCACAUCUAGAUGUGCUUUAGCAAAACUGUUGUUGUAAACGAAUCUGCCGGCAUUACUGAAAUCAAAUGGGC
rnacentral:lncRNA from 1 species